rnacentral:rRNA from 1 species
UACGUAGGGUGCGAGCGUUAAUCGGAAUUACUGGGCGUAAAGCGUGCGUAGGCGGUUCGCUGUGUCCGAUGUGAAAGCCCCGGGCUUAACCUGGGAAUGGCAUUGGAAACUGGCGGGCUUGAGUGCGGCAGAGGGGGGUGGAAUUCCGCGUGUAGCAGUGAAAUGCGUAGAUAUCAGGAGGAACACCGAUGGCGAAGGCAGGUCUCUGGGCUGACACUGACGCUCAUGCACGAAAGCGUGGGGAGCAAACAGG